rnacentral:rRNA from 1 species
GAUGAACGCUGGCGGCGUGCCUAAUACAUGCAAGUCGAGCGAACAGAUGAGGAGCUUGCUCCUCUGGCGUUAGCGGCGGACGGGUGAGUAACACGUGGAUAACCUACCUAUAAGACUGGGAUAACUUCGGGAAACCGGAGCUAAUACCGGAUAAUAUAUUGAACCGCAUGGUUCAAUAGUGAAAGACGGUUUUGCUGUCACUUAUAGAUGGAUCCGCGCCGCAUUAGCUAGUUGGUAAGGUAACGGCUUACCAAGGCAACGAUGCGUAGCCGACCUGAGAGGGUGAUCGGCCACACUGGAACUGAGACACGGUCCAGACUCCUGCGGGAGGCAGCAGUAGGGAAUCUUCCGCAAUGGGCGAAAGCCUGACGGAGCAACGCCGCGUGAGUGAUGAAGGUCUUCGGAUCGUAAAACUCUGUUAUUAGGGAAGAACAAAUGUGUAAGUAACUAUGCACGUCUUGACGGUACCUAAUCAGAAAGCCACGGCUAACUACGUG